GCGCGCGUGAACUGCAUUCGACGGCGCCCGAGCCCCUGCCUCCCCUCUACUGCUUCCCUCGCUCGCCCUAGCUAUCCCCUGGUUCAUCAAAACGACCCCAAGGCCUGCCGACACCCUCCCCUAGCCGCUAGCACCGGCCAACACCAGCCACAGACUGCCUUCGUCUUGGGCACGCCACCACCAGGACGCGUGGCUCGUUUCCGAGCCAGACAACUCACCCUCGCACUAACUGCCACCCACCUGAGCUCCACCGUCCACCACCAAACCCAACCAUCCACCACCAACCUCGCCACCGACCGCGCUUCGCCAUCAAUGGCCUCCGCCGCCGUGUCCCAUUUCGGGAAGUGACGAAACCGACCCCUCCUGACUCUCCAGCCCGCCCGAGCCUAUCUAAGCACUGCCACCGUCCUCGCCUAACCCCGCCGACCAUCCCGUCGACCCCAACGACCUCGCCACCGUCCUCCGUUGCCAUUAAAGGCCGCCGUCAAGGUCGGUUGGAGCAGCCCCGGAUGAACUGACUUGGCUAGGCUAUAAAAGCCACCUCAGGCCCCCUCAUGAUAGCAGCACCAACCCUCCCUUUCCCUUCACGAGCCUCCCCAAGCACCAAACCGACUGGAGUGGUCGUCCGCUUCAACUCCGACUGUUUCGGCCGCCGCCAACCUCCGGUCGAUUCUGACGCAACUAGGGACUCCUCCCUCUCUUUAUCUCUACCAUUAGAAUCUUUGUGGUCCCUCUAACCCACCCCACUCGUCAAUUUUUCUCGGGAAGUGUCGUAGGCAAAAUCCCCGAUUUGGCUCCGCCGGAACAUCUCGGGAGAGCUCGCCGCUGGCGGCUACGUCCCUCCCAGAGACUGUUGCGCACCUCCACCUGACCGCUACGAGUCCCUAAGAAUGAUGGUGCGGUCUUCUUCCGUCGCCAUGCCCCCAAUCACCGGCGAGGCUCGUCAAGAGCCCCUCCUCCGCUCGGCCAGAGGAGGGAGAAGGCCGGUUUGACCAGGGCCAAACCCGACCGAAGGUCCCCGCGCGUCAGUGACUAGGGCGUGCCUGAGCCAUCCUAAGUGAUGGCAUAUUUCGGAAAGAAAAUGGAGGGAAGAUUAUUUUUACAAACUUUUGGAGUGCACCCAACUCUUCUACAUCACCAAGGCAAGCAUUUUGAACACUUGAUAUGAUGAUUGCUUGGUUGAUUGCUUGCUAGAAUUUUUGAAACAUGCCUAUGUUACCUCAUAUGAAAUUUGCACAUAGAUCAUCAUGCAUAUGUGAUUCCUUGUUAGUAUUUUACUUCACCUAAACAUGAAAUAAUGGUGCCACGCAUUCCUAUGCCUGUUCUGACUAACCUACAGGAAAAAAUAUUGUCACCAGUGAAAGUGGUCGUAAGGCAGAAAUCUCGUUGUGACGAGAAUGAUCAGUGAGGGCAUGUUGGGACAUGCCAGAUGGUGACCCUGUUGGGUACCACUAAGGAGAUAUAUUGUGCUAAUCAUUGCAGGAAAAUAUAAACCUCCUGAGUAGACCGUAGAUCGAGUCUUGCUCCGGUAACCCCCAUACUUGAUUCGUACUACCACAUGUCCCUCCCACAGGUAGGGUAUGGUUCAGUAAGUUGUUAACCCCUUUUCCGCACACAUCAUACAGAGGGCCGCGAUGAGGGUUUCCCGGUUCUAGGAAUAAUGCCAGUCAUCGGGUCAGGGCCAUGGGUGUAUGCGGCUGAGGCCGAGAGGAAGCACCUCUUAGUUAGCGCACGGUAUAAAUUGUGAUCCCAUGCAAGGUUGUGACCUCUCCAUCUUAGAGUUUUUCUUGAGUGAUGCUUUGGGUGAUUCCUGACAUCAGGAAAGUUAAGCUGGUGUGUGCUGGUUAGGUGUGUUUUUAACCCAAAGAUUGUAAUGGGAAUUAGUCAGCGCCUCGGUGCUGGCUAAAGAAAUCCUUUACUUGUGGGUAAAGAGUACAACCUCUGCACAAUAUAAAACCUAUCUGAAUAGCUGUGUCCGCGGUUAAAGACUAUAGUCUGAAAUGGAUCAAGUGUCGGUCCUAGUGUUGAUCUUCAGAGGAAAAGGAACUACAUCAAAAAUUGACUAGAUUUACGAUGGAAUAUUGUGAUCACUAAUGUUAUUAUGGACUAACCCUUUCUCUUAUAUUAAAUGUUGAGUAUUUUUGGGAAGGUUUUACCACCUGGAUACUGGUGUUUUUAUUUUCUUAUAAUCCCUUUAUCAGGCGUCGCUUCAAACACCCGACUGCGGCAUUUAUUUUCAAGACCUUUUGAGGCGUCGCUUAAGACGCCCUACCGGCACAUAUAUGAUUUUCUUUUUGGAAUUCACCAGGCGGUCCUACCGCCUAGAAUUCCCAUUGCCUUUGAUUUCAUUUGAAGUAAAGCCCCUUGCGUGGCGUCGCGAAGACGCCUAACUAUGGUAUUCUUUUACCUUUUUCUUUUGGGUUCCUUCGGAACGGUUCUAUCUCUUGAGGCCCGAAUUUAAAUUUCUAUGCAACAUUAUGAUUUACUUAUACCCUAUUGAUAUUAGUUGACAACCUUUAUUAAUUGUGCAUAUAUAAUACUUCACAUGAUAGCAUUAAAUUCUUAUCAUGGCAUGGUAGAAUAUACUUAAAAUUAGUUGAAUGCAUUUUUCCUGCUUUUAUUAUAUUUUUUGUUCAUGAUGUUUGCAAGUACAUUCAAACGUACUUACUGGCUUGUCCCUGGCUAUUAUCUUGACCAGAUUUACGAUUCAGAGAGGAGUACUACGAAGACACCCCGCAACCUAGAAAAUGGAGAUAGCAGCCACGUGAGAUAGAAGUUAGCCAGGUCAGUUGUUCCUGUGGGAAUGGAGUUCCAUCAACGUUGGAGAUCGACGAGUCGCUUUCGUCAUCCACCACUAGAGAUCAUUGUUAUACUCAAUGGGCCUUUAUGGUCUUGUACCCAAAUUCUUCUAAACUGGUUGGAAUUCUGUAUCAAGGAAGUGUCCACCAGCAACAGUAAUCCUGGGGUUGAUGAUGACAUAAGGGUCAUUUGCUGGGAUUUUAUGUCCUGAAAAACCAGCCCUGACAGCAUCCAAUCAUCUCGGUUGGUGCGGGCUGGCUAUUUAUAGCCAUAACAAUCCUGGAGAGGAAAUGCUAUAAGGGCCUGGAGCCAAUUCAAUAGCCAACCAACACAUUUCCAACA